rnacentral:rRNA from 1 species
UUACAGAGUAUUAAAACACUCCUGUAUAAACCAUUUGUGAACCUAUACCUUACGUUGCCUCGGCGGUCUUACCCUGCAGCUUACCCUGUAGCGGGCGGACCGCCGGUGGAAAACCAAACUAUUUGUAUUAUUAUCAUCUGAGAGUCUUAUGAAAAUAAGUCAAAACCUUUAACAACGGAUCUCUUGGUUCUGGCAUCGAUGAAGAACGCAGCGAAAUGCGAUAAGUAAUGUGAAUUGCAGAAUUCAGUGAAUCAUCGAAUCUUUGAACGCACAUUGCGCCCCCCAGCAUUCUGGAGGGCAUGCCUGUUCGAGCGUCAUUAGUACCACUCAAGACCUAGUCUUGGCGUUGGGAGACUACCCGGGAGCUACCCUGUAGCUGUUACCCUGUAGCUCCUCAAAUUCACCGGCGGAGUGACGGUUCUACCUCUGAGCGCAGUAAUAUACCUCUCGCUUCUGUAGGUGCCGUGGCCCUCGCCGCUAAACCCCCAACUUUUUUACUGGGUUGACCUCGGAUCAGGUAGGAAUACCCGCUGAACUUAAGCAUAUCAAUAAGCGGAGGAAAAGAAACCAACAGGGAUUCCCCUAGUAACGGCGAGUGAAGCGGGAACAGCUCAAAUUUGAAAGCUGACUUUCGGGUCCGCAUUGUA